rnacentral:tRNA from 1 species
GCGGCUGUGGUCUAGGGGUUAGGACAUGGGCUUCCCAAGCCCAUUACUCGGGUUCGAAUCCCGACAGCCGCA